rnacentral:rRNA from 1 species
AUGGCGCUCUGCCUCUCGAACCCUCCUCCCUCCUCCAAGAUCGCACUCAAAGCUCCAGUACCGCCACUCCCGAACCGCUCGUUUCUCUUCCCGCCACCGCGCCUGCCUGCUCUCCAAGUUGCCCUCCUCCGCGGUCCGCCGCCGGGGCGCGUCCAGUCGUCGUCGGCACCGUCGGCCCCGCCGACGGACGGCUUCCCGACGCCACCAUCGUCGAGGGAGGAGGCGGUCGCGCAGGCCAGGUCGUGCCUGGCCACGGCGCUGCGCAAGCCGCUCAACAACUCGCUCCCGGCGCGGAAGCUCAAGAAGCAGCAGCGGCAGCCCCGGUUCCGCGCCGAGAUCCCCGUGGUCGACGACUCGCCGGGCUCCCUCGCGCGCCUCGCCUUCGACGUCUUCUCGGGCCUCGGCGUGUCCCGGAAGGGCUCGCCGGCGAGGCUGCUCCUCGUGUGGCCCUCCGCGGAGGACCUGGCGGUGGCCGUGCGCGAGUUCAAGAACUGGGGGGACACGUCGGCGCUGGCGCACGCGCAGCUGGACUCGGUGGCGCCGGACGCGCUGAGCGCCUGCGACGCCGCCGUGUUCCUGUCGCCGGGCCGGUCGCAGGUGGAGAAGCUGCGCGCGGCCGUCAACGCGCUGGACCCCAGGCCGGCGGUGCUGUUCAACCCAGGGUGGAGCUACGAGGUGGAGGAGGAGGGGUUCGGCGGCAUCGCCAAGGGCUUCGUGGGCUCCUUCAACGUGGUGUACUCCUUCAUGGGGCUGGAGGUGAAGGGGCUGCUGAGCAAGAAAAAGGGGGUGCUGCUCCGGUGCGUGGAGGGCGGCAGGUUCGGCGGGGAGAGCUGGGUGCUCAUGAUGGAGGGCGAGGAGAAGGAGCCGGAGCUGAAGGUGGUGUCGCGGAUGAAGCGGCGGCCGACGGUCGGCGAGGUGGAGAACAUGAUGUACAACCUCAUGGCCGCCAACUCGCCGGUGACCAAGUCCGCCAGGUUCCUCAGGGAGCUCGUGUCCAACGUGACGGGAAGGAAGGGGAAGCAGUGA